rfam:Salmo salar isolate Sally breed double haploid chromosome ssa06, whole genome shotgun sequence.
UGUAUUCACUACUGUAAGUCGCUUUGGAUAAGAGCGUCUGCUAAAUGACUAAAA